GGGCGGAGGGAUCAUUACCGAGUUUACAACUCCCAAACCCAAUGUGAACGUUACCAAACUGUUGCCUCGGCGGGAUCUCUGCCCCGGGUGCGUCGCAGCCCCGGACCAAGGCGCCCGCCGGAGGACCAACCAAAACUCUUAUUGUAUACCCCCUCGCGGGUUUUUUUAUAAUCUGAGCCUUCUCGGCGCCUCUCGUAGGCGUUUCGAAAAUGAAUCAAAACUUUCAACAACGGAUCUCUUGGUUCUGGCAUCGAUGAAGAACGCAGCGAAAUGCGAUAAGUAAUGUGAAUUGCAGAAUUCAGUGAAUCAUCGAAUCUUUGAACGCACAUUGCGCCCGCCAGUAUUCUGGCGGGCAUGCCUGUCCGAGCGUCAUUUCAACCCUCGAACCCCUCCGGGGGGUCGGCGUUGGGGAUCGGCCCUCCCUUAGCGGGUGGCCGUCUCCGAAAUACAGUGGCGGUCUCGCCGCAGCCUCUCCUGCGCAGUAGUUUGCACACUCGCAUCGGGAGCGCGGCGCGUCCACAGCCGUUAAACACCCAACUUCUGAAAUGUUGACCUCGGAUCAGGUAGGAAUUU
rnacentral:misc_RNA from 1 species